rnacentral:rRNA from 1 species
AUUGAACGCUGGCGGCAGGCCUCACCCAUGCAAGUCGAACGAGUGGCGGACGGGUGAGUAAUGUCUGGGAAAGUGCCCGAUGGCGGGGGAUAACUACUGGAAACGGUAGCUAAUACCGCAUACCAUCGGAUGUGCCCAGAUGGGAUUAGCUAGUAGGGGGGGUAACGGCUCACCUAGGCGACGAUCCCUAGCUGGUCUGCGAGGAUGACCAGCCACACGGGAACUGAUACACGGUCAAGACUCCUACGGGAGGCAGCAGUGGGGAAUAUUGCACAAGGGUCGCAAGCCUGAUGAAGCCAUGCCGCGUGUAUGAAGAAGGCCUUCGGGUUGUAAAGUACUUUCAGCGAGGAGGCGUUACUCGCAGAAGAAGCACCGGCUAACUCCGUGCCAGCAGCCGCGGUAAUUC